rnacentral:rRNA from 1 species
GGGUCAGUAGGUUGGUCGUGCCACCGGUACGUACUGGUCUCACUGAAUCCUCCUUCCUGAAGAACCGUAAUGCCAUUAAUUUGGUGUUGCGGGGAAACAGGACUGUUACUUUGAAAAGAUUAGAGUGUUUAAAGCAAGCUAACGCUUGAAUACAUUAGCAUGGAAUAAUGAAAUAGGACGAUCGAUCCUAUUUUGUUGGUUUCUAGGAUUGACGUA